rnacentral:rRNA from 1 species
UACGUAGGGUGCGAGCGUUGUCCGGAAUUAUUGGGCGUAAAGGGCUCGUAGGCGGUUUGUCGCGUCGGGAGUGAAAACCAGGUGCUUAACACCUGGCUUGCUUUCGAUACGGGCAGACUAGAGGUAUGCAGGGGAGAACGGAAUUCCUGGUGUAGCGGUGAAAUGCGCAGAUAUCAGGAGGAACACCGGUGGCGAAGGCGGUUCUCUGGGCCGUAACUGACGCUGAGGAGCGAAAGCAUGGGGAGCGAACAGG